UUAAGCAUAUUAAUAAGCGGAAGAAGAGAAACUAACAAGGAUGCUGUUCGUAAUGGCGAAUGAACACUGUUUUACCACUAUCGAACCUUACAUUAACUCAAUGUAUGGAGUGUGAUAUUGGUGUGAUUCGAUGUGGUCGUCUUUAGCUAUGAAAGUUUGAUUGAUUGCAACUAUUCAUAGAGGGUGAAAGUCCCGUAUCACUGCUAAUCGACGAUUCACUUGAUUUGCGCAUGAGUAAAGCUGUUUCGAACUGCAGCUUGAAUGUACGUGGUGAACUCCAUGUAAGAUUCAAUAUGUUCGUGAGACCGAUAGAGGACAAGUACCGUGAGGGAAAGUUGAAAAGUACUCUGGAAAGAGAGUGAACAAGCCUGUGCAACUGUACAUUGCAAAGCGAAUGACAGAAAGUGCAAACUCGUUGCUUAAUUGCUUAUUCGUCAAUAAUUGAUUGUUGCUAUUUCUUUGAAAGACGUUAAGCAGCUUGCCUGAUGAGUCUUGCUAAUGCGGUGCCUGUCGAUUAUGAUCUUUGAUGUGCGAACAAGUAUCGUUUCGUUAUUUGUUGCUCAUCAUGUUAGUGCGCUGAGCACUACAACUAACAUGGCUGGUAUUUACUGAUUACUUGACAUUGAUCCAGAUUAUUGAAUUGUCAAGUUCACUUGGUGCAUUAGUUCAAUGAUCUGUCAUCUGAACCGUCUUGAAACACGGACUAAGGAGUUCAACUUGAGCGCAAGUCGACUACAUGAAUAAAGUAUGGGGCACAGUGAAAGCAAUCUUGCAAUGAAUGUGAACUGAAGUUGCGAUUGUACACUGAAGGUUAGCACAUGAUCUGGGUGGCAGUUUAUUACUUGCCUACUGCAACAGAGCGCUUUGGUUGUGACCCGAAAGAUG
rnacentral:rRNA from 1 species